rnacentral:rRNA from 1 species
AGGACGAACGUUGGCGGCGUGCCUAACACAUGCAAGUCGAACGUGGCUUAAGUUUACUUAAGUCUAGUGGCGGACGGCAGAGUAAUGCACAGGAACGUACCUCGAGGUGAGGGAUAGCCCUUCGAAAGAAGGGGUAAUACCACAUGUGCUCGCAAGAGCAAAGCCGCAAGGCGCCAUGAGAACGGCCUGUGUCCUAUCAGGUAGUUGGUGAGGUAAAGGCUCACCAAGCCUAUGACGGGUAGCUGGUCUGAGAGGAUGAUCAGCCUGAUCGGGACUGAGACACGGCCCGAACUCCUACGGGAGGCAGCAGUUGGGAAUUUUGCACAAUGGACGAAAGUCUGAUGCAGCGACGCCGCGUGGAGGAUGAAGGUUUUCGGAUUGUAAACUCCUGUCACUGCAGAACAAGGGUACACUUAUGAAUAGUAAGUGUAUUUGAUGGUAUGCGGAGAGGAAGGGACGGCUAACUCUGUGCAGCAGCCGCGGUUAA